rnacentral:lncRNA from 1 species
AAAACUAAUUGUUAGCUAUAACUAGUUUUAAUCUAAAACUAGAGAAUCCUUUUUGUUUGUUUGUUUGUUUCUGAGACGGAGUCUCUCUCUGUUGCCAGGCUGGAGUGCAGUGGUGCGAUCUCGGCUCACGACAAUCUCCACCUCCCAGGUUCAAGCGAUUCUCCUGCCUCAGCCUCCCAAGUAACUGGGAUUACAGGCACGUGCCACCACACCCAGUUAAUUUUUUUUUUUUUGUAUUUUUAGUAGAGACGGGGUUUCACCAAGUUGGCUGGGAUGGUGUCGAUCUCCUGACCUCGUGAUCCUCCCUCUUUGGCUUCCCAAGGUGCUGGGAUUACAGGCAUGAGCCACCGUGCCUGGCUGGUAAUCAUAUUUUUUGAGCUCGUUCUGCUUUCUGUUUUCUCUGAAAGAGCCGUGAAUGAUGAGACGACAAAAUAUUGGAUUAUUUGUGCUCUUGAAACAGAUGCCACCUGAGUUGUGACAGGUAUUUUAAGUAUAAUCUUCUGCAUUCACUUAACACUCUCAUUUGAAAAUUUUCAAACCUUGGGCAUAUUCUUGUUCAUUUACCACUGAAAUGAGUCACCUCUUGGGUGUGAAGAGAAAGCUAGGAAUAAAAUGGGGACAAUGAAUGCAGUUGUAAGGGAACAGUAACAAAGAGAAAUCAGAAGUAUCUUGCAAAGUUUGACUGGCUCCAAAUGCAGAUGUAGAACAACAAAGGAGAGUGGGAUAGUUUGAUUUUUUUUUUUCC